rnacentral:rRNA from 1 species
UGGGGAAUAUUGGACAAUGGGCGCAAGCCUGAUCCAGCCAUACCGCGUGGGUGAAGAAGGCCUUCGGGUUGUAAAGCCCUUUUGUUGGGAAAGAAAUCCAGCUGGCUAAUACCCGGUUGGGAUGACGGUACCCAAAGAAUAAGCACCGGCUAACUUCGUGCCAGCAGCCGCGGUAAUACGAAGGGUGCAAGCGUUACUCGGAAUUACUGGGCGUAAAGCGUGCGUAGGUGGUCGUUUAAGUCCGUUGUGAAAGCCUGGGCUCAACCUGGGAACUGCAGUGGAUACUGGGCGACUAGAGUGUGGUAGAGGGUAGCGGAAUUCCUGGUGUAGCAGUGAAAUGCGUAGAGAUCAGGAGGAACAUCCAUGGCGAAGGCAGCUACCUGGACCAAGCACUGACACUGAGGCACGAAAGCGUGGGGAGCAAA